AUGCUUGGAUCUUGCAUCAGCGUCGCCCCGUCCCUGGACGAGAGCUGGGGUGCCAUCUCGGUGGACCCCCUCAUCGGCCAUCUUGAGCUCCGGUUUGUCGAGCUGCCGAGAGGCAGCGUGCUCCCUGACCUGGACGGCAUGGCGUCGAUGAGGACAUUGGGCAGCUGCCUGCGCAUGGCGGUCAGCGAGGGGAAGAUGUGCUACGUCGAGGUGUCCAAGGAGAAGUCGUAUGUGAUCAGCUUGUUCACGCUCGACGACGAGGGCCACUCCUGGACGCUGGACCAUGAGACAGUGUUUGCUCCAAUUUGGGAUGAUGCACUCCUCUGUUCGGCACCCUUGGAGAAAAUGCUGGCAAUUGGCGCCAUCAACCUACUGAAAGCCAACAUCAUGUACCUUUCCUGCGGCGACAAAAUUCUUGGCAUCGAUGUGGUUACUAAGAAGAUAACUGGGACUUCUUGUCUAGCUAUAGAUGUACCCAAUCAUCCCCUACUACCAUGUGUGCUUCCAACGUGGAUGGAAUCUAGCCAAAUUCCAUCUGCAGGUAACAUCCACAUUUGA
rnacentral:rRNA from 1 species